AGUGGGGAAUAUUGCGCAAUGGGCGAAAGCCUGACGCAGCGACGCCGCGUGAGGGAUGACGGCCUUCGGGUUGUAAACCUCUUUCAGCAGGGACCAAGGGUGACUGAGUGUACCUGCAGAAGAAGCACCGGCUAACUACGUGCCAGCAGCCGCGGUAAUACGUAGGGUGCGAGCGUUGUCCGGAUUUAUUGGGCGUAAAGGGCUCGUAGGCGGCCUGUCGCGUCGGGAGUGAAAGCCCACUGCUUAACGGUGGGUCUGCUUCCGGUACGGGCGGGCUGGAGUAUGGCAGGGGAGACUGGAAUUCCUGGU
rnacentral:rRNA from 1 species